GAUCCUGGCUCAGGAUGAACGCUGGCGGCGUGCCUAACACAUGCAAGUCGAACGAAGCACUGAGACUUCGGUUUUUGUGCUUAGUGGCGGACGGGUGAGUAACGCGUGAGCAAUCUGCCUUUCAGAGGGGGAUAACGAUUGGAAACGAUCGCUAAUACCGCAUAACGUAUUCGGACGGCAUCUUCUGAAUACCAAAGGAGCAAUCCGCUGAAAGAUGAGCUCGCGU
rnacentral:rRNA from 1 species